ensembl:lncRNA
GGUUAAGCUUAGUUAAAAAGCCCUUUUCAUUGGUUUUCUUUUUGUUCCCGGAUUUCUUUUCUUUUUUAAAGCACAGUAAGAGAGAUGGGGACACAUUAGUCGACUUCCUGCCUCAGUGCAGCCGGCCUGUCAGAGAAUGGAAGAGUCCCAAAGGUUUUAAAGCGUUUUCUGCCGCAUCACUACAGCGUUACGGCCUCUCCAGUUAGUCAUGUUAAUACUGCGAGGAUAAAGCAACACAUCAGAUGAAUGGAAGGGAGCAUACUACACAAUAGUUGCAUAACCUUUUAUGCAACACUACCCGAUAUCUUGUUAUAAGAAAACCUGGUAAAAAGUGUGGCUUAACUUAUUUGACCUUCUGUAAAAGCUUAUAUUUAAUCAAUCACAUGGUAUCAGAUGCACAUCAGAACCCCUUCCUAGGCAUUAUGGUUCACAACUUUUCAAUACAGUGAAGAUUAAAUACCAAAAAACAAUUCAGUUUUUGAUACAUUUAGUACAUAUUAAAGUCAGUACCAUAAAAGGAAAUGUGUUGGGUCCUAAAAGUUCUGGGCAUAGUUUUUUAUACAUUUCAUGCACUGUAAAAAAUAUACAUAAUAUAUUUUUUAUUUAUUUUUAACCACUCAAGCGACGUUUGAUAUGCCCCAUGCCUGUAACACUUUUUGUUCUUGCAAACAUGCAGUUGAUAGUCUGAAUGUUGCAGAUGUAAUAUUGAAAGUAUAAUCUGACUGUAUAUGAUAUUGUGCUCAAAUGAGAUGCAUGUUGCAGACAAAGUGUUUUCAUCCUCACCAGUUGAGGAUCCAUGCGCAGAAGAAGACAGGGAAAUGAAAGAGCAGGAUUGUUGUUGACCUUUGCACAAACAAGGACUGACAUGCUAGUGCUAGUGGUAAAUAGGGCUUUUUCCCAUGCAUACCCCUCAGCAUAUAACCUAAUGAUAUGCAAACCCUUUGCCUUUGAAGUGUGACCCUACUGUGAACUAGUUGGCUCAAUUGUUGCCUCGUCCUGACUCAUUCACUUCAUGCAAGACCUAACUGCUUGCAUUCACAUACAAUACUUGUAAUGACAUUUUGACUUUAAGGUCAAAUAAAGCCGGUUCAUCUUUGAACCGGCCGGAACCAACUGUACAGACUGUUUACAGGCAGCUACAGUGAGAUGUUAAACUCAGAAUCUCUAUUUGUUUGAGCCAAUUCCUCUCUCCUCCUCCUCCCUUUCUUUUCAUUCUAUUUUCCACCACACUGGUCCGACGGAAAAGCUCAGCCUGUGCCAACACACACAUCAUGCACGCACAAUGCCGUCUCGCUUUGAGGCAGCACCAUGAAGCCGGCACCUCGGAAACAGGAACCGCAGGCUGACCCUAAAGACAGGAAGGGAAAACUGUGGCUCAAACUGGACCCUGAACUCCUCAGCAAGUUGGAACAUUGUAAAGAUCAUGUUAUUUACAUUUCAAUGCUUUUAAUGCCAAAAGAACAGCAUGUAUCUAUUGCUGGACGCCUAUUUCAAUCAUUGUAUAUCAUCUAGCCACAGCAGAAAUGAGGUCAUUUGAACCUCCUUCCCUUUUUAAACAUAUGCGUUGGCUGUAACGCAGCAUGGCAUGCCAAAAAGACUGUCUGCUCGGCUAGUUUGGGUUUUAUUUCCAAAUUUGCAGAGCCAUAUGGUGAAACAAAAAUGUAAUGCCAGGAACAAACCUGCAGUUUAUAGUGUGUCUCUUUGAAGCUAUGCACUAGCCAGAGGUUUCAUUUGUUUCCGUUGGACAUUAAUUAAAGGCAUUAAUUAAAACAAGAUUUAAUGAGUACUGACAGUCUAGGUGCCAGCAUGAAUCCCUUGCAGCCAGAUUGUUUCUGAAAAGGGGAAAAUAGCUGCAUUGUGUGUACAUGGAUGAGAACGGAAGUGUUACUUCCGUUCUCAUCCAUGCUGGUGAAAAACACCUUUUAUUUUAGUUUCAUGUAAAUGUAAAGAUGUAUCAGAUGCCCAAUGCGUGGUGUGUUUGCCUUGGCUUCAGGUGCCAGGCACCCUCCAGCUAUUCUGGGCAGCAAGACAAACAGCGUGAUUACAUAGAAGAGUGGAUAUCCACAAGGUUGCCAUGACAAUGAGAGCGAGCGGGCUUCAGUUCGAGUGGAAACAACGUUCUAGCGGCGUUCUAGCGGUACUAAAGUGAGAUGAAAGAGAUGAGAUAACUGCCUUUUUAACACGUGGGUCUGAAUAAUGAGGUAAUUAUGCUGUUCAUAUGGGAUUUGAGAUCUGACUACUUUGAAGUAGUGUGUACGUUUUGUGAUUAAUGAUUCGUUUAGUAAUAUCUUAUAGAUAUUGAGUUGCAUUAUGAACAAAUUAUAUGGAAAAAUAUGUAUUACUUCUUCCUGAUUCCUCCGACAUCUCUUGAAAAUAUGUUUAAUCUCAGCAAUGCAAAGCAAUUCAGUAAGUUAGCAAAAGAUUCUUCUUUUCCAUUGCAGCACAGCAACAUGCACAGUAACUCCCUACGAAGCAAAUUUGCUUCUCACAUUCCCCACUGCUCUGUUCUGCAUCAGCACUCAGCUCUGCCACUCUUUCUAUUAGUCUUGGACAUUUUUUAGAGAAGCUUCAGUAAAAGAAAGACUUUCCGUGUUAUAUGCACAAGCACGAUUGAUCCCGGGACUGACGUGAGUCUCUUGGUACCUGACAACUCCUUAAAGAGGCACCAUUGAGCAUUUCCUUUCCUUGAAUCUUAUCCAUCCUUUUUUUCCACAUCCUGACUGCUCAAAAAAAUGGUGAAUGAAAAAACCCCCACUGAGUGCACACUGGGCUUUGAACUGGGUCAAAAACUUUGCUUAAGCCACACAAAGCUUGGAGGAUUGAAAGAUAAAAGCCAGAGAGACUAACUGCUGUUUGCUGGAUCAGUCUAAUCAAUAUCUUGCUUUUGCUUAAGUGAUUGGAACGUCUUUUAUUCCCAUGAUGAAUAUUUUAUUAUGCACUGUAUCCAGAGAAUUCUUUUUUUGUGAUUUAUAAAUAUCUGAUUAUGUUAAUUAACAUGGGUAAUUAUAUUAUGCAGUAUGUAAAUGAUAUGAGCUUAUCCGAUAAUUAAAGAUAUUUAAUGUUUUGCUUGUGUUUUUAUUCCCUUAUACAAACUGUAUAAAGUACCCCUGCUUAUCUGCGCUCUGCUGAGUGCUUUCAGUGAAGCGUGUGUAGAUUUCUAAUCAAUACUUAGACUUAAAGCACUCCUUGGAAUUACCUUCCACAACAACAACAACAACGAUGUUGUUGCUGAUGGGUGAAAGUAGAGAAAUGAAUGUGGGGCAGUAAAUUUGAAGGGAAUUUUAACAAUAUCAACUUAUGCACAUUUGGUCUAAAUCAACACAUGCAAACAUUCAAAGUUGUUAUCAUCACGUAAACAAUUAGGUUCCGUUAAAACUUUUUAAGAAUGUUUUAAUUUUAAUGUACUCAUCAAAGUGGGUGAAAGACAGGACCUCCUUACUAAUCCACAUUUUAUCUUGUGUCCUGGGUGUGUUGUCUUCUUUCGUCCACUUCUGUUCACUUUCCCUGAAACAUCUCUGCAGCUAUCUUUCUUUAUAUGUCUAUUUCUGUCAUCUUAAUUAGUGC